UACGUAGGGGGCAAGCGUUGUCCGGAAUCAUUGGGCGUAAAGGGCUCGUAGGUGGCCCACUAAGUCGGACGUGAAAUCCCUCGGCUUAACCGGGGAACUGCGUCCGAUACUGGUUGGCUUGAGUUUGGGAGAGGGAUGCGGAAUUCCAGGUGUAGCGGUGAAAUGCGUAGAUAUCUGGAGGAACACCGGUGGCGAAGGCGGCAUCCUGGACCAAUACUGACGCUGAGGAGCGAAAGCCAGGGGAGCAAACGGG
rnacentral:rRNA from 1 species